rnacentral:rRNA from 1 species
UUACCUGUUUUUGACAUCCACAGAACUUAGCAGAGAUGCUUUGGUGCCUUCGGGAACUGUGAGACAGGUGCUGCAUGGCUGUCGUCAGCUCGUGUUGUGAAAUGUUGGGUUAAGUCCCGCAACGAGCGCAACCCUUAUCCUUUGUUGCCAGCGGUUAGGCCGGGAACUCAAAGGAGACUGCCAGUGAUAAACUGGAGGAAGGUGGGGAUGACGUCAAGUCAUCAUGGCCCUUACGACCAGGGCUACACACGUGCUACAAUGGCAUAUACAAAGAGAAGCGACCUCGCGAGAGCAAGCGGACCUCAUAAAGUAUGUCGUAGUCCGGAUUGGAGUCUGCAACUCGACUCCAUGAAGUCGGAAUCGCUAGUAAUCGUAGAUCAGAAUGCUACGGUGAAUACGUUCCCGGGCCUUGUACACACCGCCCGUCACACCAUGGGAGUGGGUUGCAAAAGAAGUAGGUAGCUUAACCUUCGGGAGGGCGCUUACC